UACGUAGGGUGCGAGCGUUGUCCGGAAUUAUUGGGCGUAAAGGGCUCGUAGGCGGUUUGUCGCGUCGGGAGUGAAAACCAGGUGCUUAACACCUGGCUUGCUUUCGAUACGGGCAGACUAGAGGUAUGCAGGGGAGAACGGAAUUCCUGGUGUAGCGGUGAAAUGCGCAGAUAUCAGGAAGAACACCCGUGGCUAAGGCGGCUCUCUAGUACGGUACUGACGCUGAGACGCGAAAGCGUGGGGAGCGAACAGG
rnacentral:rRNA from 1 species